rnacentral:rRNA from 1 species
AGAGUUUGAUCAUGGCUCAGGAUGAACGCUAGCGACAGGCUUAACACAUGCAAGUCGAGGGGCAGCAUGAGGUAGCAAUACCUUGAUGGCGACCGGCGCACGGGUGAGUAACGCGUAUGCAACCUGCCCGAUACCGGGGUAUAGCCCAUGGAAACGUGGAUUAACACCCCAUAGUACUUUUAUCCUGCCUGGGAUGGGAGUUAAAUGUUCAAGGUAUCGGAUGGGCAUGCGUCCUAUUAGUUAGUUGGCGGGGUAACAGCCACCAAGACGAUGAUAGGUAGGGGUUCUGAGAGGAAGGUCCCCCANAUUGGAACUGAGACACGGUCCAAACUCUACGGGAGCA